rnacentral:tRNA from 1 species
UGUAUUUUAGUUUAUAGAGAAUGUUUGUUUUUGGUGCAAUUGGAUUUGAUACAG